CCGGGCCUUGUACACACCGCCCGUCACACCAUGGGAGUGGGUUGCACCAGAAGUAGAUAGCUUAACCUUCGGGAGGGCGUUUACCACGGUGUGAUUCAUGACUGGGGUGAAGUCGUAACAAGGUAACCCUAGGGGAACCUGGGGUUGGAUCACCUCCUUACCUUAA
rnacentral:rRNA from 1 species